AACGAACGCUGGCGGCAGGCUUAACACAUGCAAGUCGAACGGUUGUAGCAAUACAGCAGUGGCGCACGGGUGAGUAACGCGUGGAUAUCUGCCUUUUGGUUCGGAAUAACUCCGGGAAACUGGAGCUAAUACCGGAUGGUUCCUACGGGAUAAAGAUUUAUCGCCAAAAGAUGAGUCCGCGUACGAUUAGCUAGUUGGUGAGGUAAUGGCUCACCAAGGCGACGAUCGUUAGCUGGUCCGAGAGGACGAUCAGCCACACUGGGACUGAGACACGGCCCAGACUCCUACGGGAGGCAGCAGUGGGGAAUAUUGGACAAUGGGGGCGAACCCCUGAUCCAGCCAUGCCGCGUGAAGUGAUGAAGGCCU
rnacentral:rRNA from 1 species